rnacentral:rRNA from 1 species
UGAGGAAUAUUGGUCAAUGGGCGAGAGCCUGAACCAGCCAAGUCGCGUGAAGGAAGACAGUCCUAAGGAUUGUAAACUUCUUUUAUACGGGAAUAACGGGCGAUACGAGUAUUGCAUUGAAUGUACCGUAAGAAUAAGCAUCGGCUAACUCCGUGCCAGCAGCCGCGGUAAUACGGAGGAUGCGAGCGUUAUCCGGAUCUAUUGGGUUUAAAGGGUGCGUAGGUUGUUCGGUAAGUCAGCGGUGAAACCUGAGCGCUCAACGUUCAGCCUGCCGUUGAAACUGCCGGGCUUGAGUUCAGUGGCGGCAGGCGGAAUUCGUGGUGUAGCGGUGAAAUGCAUAGAUAUCACGAGGAACUCCGAUUGCGAAGGCAGCUUGCCAUACUGCGACUGACACUGAAGCACGAAGGCGUGGGUAUCAAACAGG